AUUGAACGCUGGCGGCAGGCCUAACACAUGCAAGUCGAGCGGAUGAAGGGAGCUUGCUCCUGGAUUCAGCGGCGGACGGGUGAGUAAUGCCUAGGAAUCUGCCUGGUAGUGGGGGAUAACGUCCGGAAACGGGCGCUAAUACCGCAUACGUCCUGAGGGAGAAAGUGGGGGAUCUUCGGACCUCACGCUAUCAGAUGAGCCUAGGUCGGAUUAGCUAGUUGGUGGGGUAAAGACCUACCAAGGCGACGAUCCGUAACUGGUCUGAGAGGAUGAUCAGUCACACUGGAACUGAGACACGGUCCAGACUCCUACGGGAGGCAGCAGUGGGGAAUAUUGGACAAUGGGCGAAAGCCUGAUCCAACCAUGCCGCGUGUGUGAAGAAGGUCUUCGGAUUGUAAAGCACUUUAAGUUGGGAGGAAGGGCAGUAAGUUAAUACCUUGCUGUUUUGACGUUACCAACAGAAUAAGCACCGGCUAACUUCGUG
rnacentral:rRNA from 1 species